AAGUCGUAACAAGGUUUCCGUAGGUGAACCUGCGGAAGGAUCAUUAAUGUGAUUGCCCCAUCCCCCCCCAUUUUCUUGGGGGAGUAAAAUGGGUGCAAGCAUCCCAUCCUUGUGUUUUGUACCUCGUGUAUGUUUGGGGGGGGUCCACCCCUCCCAUUCAUUCGUUUUUUCCUCACACUCAUUUCUCUGAUCCGUCGUUAUUCACACACACACCUUUGUGGGUGUUGUUGUAUGUAACCAUCGAAAACUGCCAGCAAUGGAUCACUCGGUUCUC
rnacentral:misc_RNA from 1 species